GGGUGAGUAACGCGUGGGGACCUACCUCUUAGUGGGGGAUAACGGUUGGAAACGACCGCUAAUACCGCAUACGCCCUUCGGGGGAAAGAUUUAUCGCUAAGAGAUGGACCCGCGUUGGAUUAGAUAGUUGGGGAGGUAACGGCUCACCAAGUCAGCGAUCCAUAGCUGGUUUGAGAGGAUGAUCAGCCACACUGGGACUGAGACACGGCCCAAACUCCUACGGGAGGCAACAGUGGGGAAUAUUGGACAAUGGGGGCAACCCUGAUCCAGCCAUGCCGCGUGAGUGAAGAAGGCCUUCGGGUUGUAAAGCUCUUUCAGAUGCGAAGAUGAUGACGGUAACAUCAGAAGAAGCCCCGGCUAAUUUCGUG
rnacentral:rRNA from 1 species